GAUGAACGCUAGCGGCAGGCUUAAUACAUGCAAGUCGAACGGGGUUCAGGGUAGCAAUACUUUGAUGAGAGUGGCGCACGGGUGCGUAACGCGUAUGCAACCUACCUUUAACAGGGGAAUAGCCCCGAGAAAUCGGGAUUAAUACUCCGUAACAUUGCGGGAUGGCAUCAUUCUGCAAUUAAAGAUUUAUCGGUUAAAGAUGGGCAUGCGUGACAUUAGCUUGUUGGUGAGGUAACGGCUCACCAAGGCAACGAUGUCUAGGGGUCCUGAGAGGGUUAUCCCCCACACUGGUACUGAGACACGGACCAGACUCCUACGGGAGGCAGCAGUAAGGAAUAUUGGUCAAUGGGCGCAAGCCUGAACCAGCCAUGCCGCGUGCAGGAAGACGGCCCUAUGGGUUGUAAACUGCUUUUGUCAGGGAAUAAACCUGUCUACGUGUAGACAGCUGAAGGUACCUGAAGAAUAAGCAUCGGCUAACUCCGUGCCAGCAG
rnacentral:rRNA from 1 species